ACCUGAGGCAAAGGCAGACACCCAACCGAUUACACCACUCAGGUGCCCCAAUAAAUAAGUCUUAAAAAAAAAUUAAAACAUUUUAUGAGGCACACUGAAGUAUUUAGGGGCUGAGUGUCACAUCUGUAACUUACUUUCAAGUGGUCUGACAACACAAUAUACACACCACAUCUAGAAACUCACAAUAAAAAGCUGUUCUUUUGGGGGGAGUCUUUUACACCCCCUUAGUGCACUUGAACUUAGAAGAGGCCGAGGACGGUUGGCCUGGGGUUGGAAAAAGAAAACACUGUCAUGGGUAAUUUUUAAAGUAGGUAAUAUCUGAGCACACAAUCAGGAAAUAACAGCAGACGGCAUGCUAGAACCAAUAGUGUUAAGGGUGGGAUUAUUAGUGAUUUUUUGGGUUUGCUCACACAUUUCUGUCCUUGCCAUGUUUUCUCCCUGAGUACUUAUAAUUCUGAGACUCAGAAGAAAGAAGAGAGAGAGGAGGCACACCUAAAGCUCUGCAGCCUGGCAUGCUGAUGGGCAGAGGGCUUAGUCAGUUAAGUGUUCAACUCUUCUUUUUUUUAGAUUUUUAUUUAUUUGAGGGAGAUAGAGUGUGAGAGAGGGAGCACAAGCAGGGGGAGAGGCAGAAGGAGAAGCAGACUCCGGGUGGGCUUGCAGCUUUCAGGGAACCUGCUCCACCUGCCCACUUCCUACCUGUCGCUGUCUCUGCUCUCCUUCCCAGGUGUGCUGCUGACCGAUGAGGGGUCUCUGGGAUGUCCAUCUUUCAUAGCUGGUGACUCCUGCAAAGAGAAGUCAGUGCUGGAUUUGUGAUAGGUGCCCCAAGUUGAGGGAUCUGCUUCCCAGCAUUCCUGCCUGAAGUGGCCUCGGAGCUCAAGUUCCUAUGGAGCAAUCUGAGAGAAUCAGGACCAAGCCUGUACGUGGUCAAAGAAUCAGUGGGAAAUGCCAUCCGUGCUCUGAGCGACAGAUACUGAGGAUUUAGCUUCCUGUCAUCUCUACACCCAGCAUGGGGCUCGAACUCACGACCUUGAGAUCAAGAGUUGCACACUCCUCCAACUGAGCCAGCCAGGCACCCUGGUUUCUUAGUCUUUAAAACAGGGAUGAAAACAUGGAAUAAUGUAUGUUAAUUAUACAUGAAUAAAAAAAGGAAUAAAUGAAAUGGGGAUGAAAACAACAGCACUUCUCUCAGAGGAUCUCUGUGCAGAUUUACUGAGGUGAUGCUCUGGGAGUCCUGAGUGCAGUGCUGGCGGGUGACAAGACUGUCUGCUCUCCUCCCUCGCCCUCCAAAGUACCAGUCUGGGAACCGCUAUAAGCAACAGAGCUGAGGUGUUUAGCGGGGUCUACUACAUUUUUACUGAAUGAAGACUAGAAAGGAAGCAACUCUAGUAUUCUAACGAAGUGCCUCGCAGCAGUGUCUGGGUUCUAAGUGUGGAAGCCGAACAGACUAGCUUCCCCCCCAACUCUGCCGCGGCGGGAGACCGGGGUCAGGAGACAGGCUCCAGACACCCCAAGGAUGGAUGCCCCAAGGAUGUGCAAUGCAGAGGAGGGGCAGCCACCAUGGAGAAAGCAAGGAGGCUUGCAUCUCUAGGACAAAGCCUCCCAGUUGGGCCUGCCCUUCCCUCCCUCAGCAGCUCCAGCCAGUGAGCAGCUCUGGUAUUCCAGCUAUGCAGUCCUGCUGGGACAAGAGCCAAGCUUGAAAAAUACCUUUGAGGGGGUGGGGAGAUGUAAGGCACCGCUCUCUAACCGCCACAAAGCACCCUCAGUGCCCCUCCUGCAACUCCAGAGGGGAGGGCCACACUGGGGCUCAUUGUCACACCACUGUCAAUAAGGCGGGUCUCUAUAGAUAUCCCAGAGGAGUAUUUCCAGGCCCUUUAAGACCACAUUUGUUCAUAUGGGCAGGAAGCAAGGCAGGCUGGCCACUGAGCAGAAACACCACUUCAUCACCGCCUGGAGUUUAUUCUAGGACCUGGCUGGUGCCUGGCUUUGCUUCUAAGAGAAAGCUGCUGCUCUCUCUGUGGCAGGGAUUUUUAUUUAUAGCCAGAGUGACUGUUUGGGCUGAGGAUUUUAUACCAUGAGGGGAGCUGCCUGGCUGGGAGAUUGCAGAUUUCUGUAGAAGAUCUAGCAGUGCCAGAGCAAGUCCCCGGAAAGGAAAGCAGGAAGGGCUGCCUGGCUCCCAAUGUCAGCCUUGAUCACACACACAUCAAUCAUAGAGCCAGCAACGACCAUCUAGCGAUGGUGGUGAUGCCUACUGGUCAGAUGAGGAGCUAAGGGUUUGCACGAAUCCUCUCAUUUAAUCUACAUGAAGGGCUGUUACGAUUCUUAUCACAAAGAUAAAGAAACAGGCUGGCCACACACCUUGUAACACAGCUUGGCUCCUAAGAGAGGCACAGGGGAUUUCCCACUCAGUGAACAUUCUGGGUGUGUGACAGGCCCCAAACAUGUAAUCCUAUGGAUCGGCAGGAUACAGCCUACUACCUGGCUGGGAGAUCUCCUUGGCUAAGUGUUUUGUGAUGACCAGCAAGCAAAGGCAGCGAGCCAAGGCUUAUAUACAAGCCAGGGAUGCAGAGACAUCUGCCCUCACAAGAGAUGCACAAACUGGUAGCCUGCUCUAUUCAAAACAGACACGUGAAUGAACCGCCCUGAGUCUUCCAGGUGGAGAAACGAUGGCUGACGACCCUGUAGGUUGAUGGGUGGCCACACACAUGCUAGAACACAAAGACACUCAAAGCUGGCCAGGCAUCAAUUUUCAAAGACAGUUUAUCUCCAUUAUAGUCUUGGCAUGAAAAAUGACUAGGGAUGCGGUCUGUGCUGGCAAGAAAGCAGGGAGAGAGACCUUUAAAUGCAAAAUUCUGGUUCCUCACUGUAACAGACAUUCCACUUAAUUCCUGUAACUGUCAGGAAGAAUGAGGGUGCCAGGGGAGGCAGAGAGUGUGCCAGCAGCCAAGGGCCAGAGCCACAGGCCAAUGACUCCGCUGGCUCUGCAGCUGCAGUGACUGGUGCUCCGAGCUUUGAGGAACUUUCAGCCCUCCCAAUUAUGGGUAGAGGCAAUCAUUUGAGUGAAUGGACUUACUGUCGUAAAGUGUCUGGGAAGCACAGAAGUUGCCAGAGAUUGGUCAUUACUGCAUACUCUUGGCUCCAACAAGGCUUAUGACUUCAGUGUUUCUGGAUGCUGCUUACCAACACAGAUAAGCUAUUGGACUGCUGGUUUUCAGGCUUACAUUCGUCUCCAUCAUUUGUGAGAAAACACACCCCAGGGCAGCUGCUGCUCUAGUGUGGUUUGGGCUUCCUUCCCAUACGGAGACUCACUGGGAACCACAGCUCAGCACUGGUCCUGGGCUCACACUUCCUUUAAACCAGAGACUGUGAGUGUCAACACAACACCGGGCUACGUUAUUUCUCUUGGAAGGAAGUCAAGCUUUCAGCCACUGCACAACACCCUUCACCAUCUCUACGGGACGGAUCUCUUGGAGGGAAGCACGCCUGCUUUGGCUCUUAAGGGAUGGAAAGUCACCAGGAAGGACCCUUGAUAACAUUCCUCUCUACUCCCUGUGGCACCCUGAGGGGAAGUCUGCUAGAUGCUUGUCUCCUCUCUCCUUCCUGGUCCCAGUCAACUACUUAUUUACCAAAACCUUUCUUGGAGUCUACCUUACAUCUGGAAGCAACUUCCUUCUUUGGUGCCUUUGUGUUCAUUUAUAACAACUGUGGUUUACAUAAUGUCAAAAGGGUAAGUUUCCAAAGCCCAGUGGCAGAUUCUGAGGUCUCUGCUACCAACACCUGCACCUUAGAUCUGUCUUUGCUUCUGGCCAGGAGAGGCACUUCUGUUGGCCCUGUUGGAUGAGGGAUAGGACAGUAUUCAUUUUAUCAAAGAAAGGCAAUAUCAGCACCACACUGGAUCCAAAAAAUAUCCUCUUUUUGAAUAAAUUUCUUGUGGAAUCUAUUUUUAAAAACCAUCUGAAAAUUCUAAUUAGUAUUUUACAACAAAUGAUGUAAAAAAAAGGAAAACCCAAACAAACCAAAAAUGUUCUGGUUGGGAGUUUUAGGUAGUAGGAUAGGUAAAAGUGGAAAUGUAUAGCAUUUCUUCUCAUGUGACAUAUUUUUGCAACUUGAAUAACAAGAUCUUCCUUGAAAACACUAGAUUUUGGCUAAUGGAUUCAUGGCUAAUAAUAUUCUUGCAAAAACCUCCCAAACAUUUUAGCAUGCUCUGUAUUCUCACUAAAUAUUGACCUUAAAAGCAUCAACUCUUAUGGAAAGAUUUAGUACAGAUUCAAAAAUGAUUUGAAUUCAGUUCUAGAAAUCUGACUGAACUAUUUUUAUUGUUUGGAUUUAAACAGCAUGCCAGGGACUCUAAUUUACACUUAUUCUUAGAACUCUAUUUAGAGCCUGUAGCUCUGUAAUGUGUCAGAACACAAAGGACGAAAACCCUCCUCUUGAUGACCACUCUAGGUACGGGCUUUUCUUUUUCACGUUGCCUUGCCAGGUCUCCGCUAUUUACUGGCAAUUCAGCAGUUCAUAAACAUCACCUGAACACUA